rnacentral:rRNA from 1 species
UACGUAGGGCGCGAGCGUUGUCCGGAUUUAUUGGGCGUAAAGAGCUCGUAGGCGGUUUGUCGCGUCUGCUGUGAAAACUGGGGGCUCAACCCCCAGCCUGCAGUGGGUACGGGCAGGCUGGAGUAUGGUAGGGGAGAUUGGAAUUCCUGGUGUAGCGGUGGAAUGCGCAGAUAUCAGGAGGAACACCGAUGGCGAAGGCAGAUCUCUGGGCCGUAACUGACGCUGAGGAGCGAAAGCGUGGGGAGCGAACAGG